rnacentral:rRNA from 1 species
CCUACGGGAGGCUGCAGUCGAGAAUCAUUCACAAUGGGGGAAACCCUGAUGGUGCGACGCCGCGUGGGGGAAUGAAGGUCUUCGGAUUGUAAACCCCUGUCAUGUGGGAGCAAAUUAAAAAGAUAGUACCACAAGAGGAAGAGACGGCUAACUCUGUGCCAGCAGCCGCGGUAAUACAGAGGUCUCAAGCGUUGUUCGGAAUCACUGGGCGUAAGGCGUGCGUAGGCUGUUUCGUAAGUCGUGUGUGAAAGGCGCGGGCUCAACCCGCGGACGGCACAUGAUACUGCGAGACUAGAGUAAUGGAGGGGGAACCGGAAUUCUCGGUGUAGCAGUGAAAUGCGUAGAUAUCGAGAGGAACACUCGUGGCGAAGGCGGGUUCCUGGACAUUAACUGACGCUGAGGCAUGAAGGCCAGGGGAGCGAAAGGGAUUAGAUACCCCAGUAGUC